AUGAAUCCUAAGCACAAGCUCUACUGAUACUGGAAUAGUGUCUUUCCACUCAAUCAAGUGAAGUCCCAGGUGCUAAAAACUUGAGGGGAUUCGUUUUUCUGGCUAUGUCUACCUUAUUCUUGGAAAGGAGAUUUUGGAGAGGCAAUUGAAAAGUUUUAGAGAAUCCAAGAUUUAAAGAACUCUUCUUUGGGCGUUAAAGUGCAGGAUUUCACAAGAGGGUUAACUUCAUAAAUAAAAUUGGAGUGCUUUUUCCAUAUAAUCCAUUGGAAUCAUCUUAUCCACUUUCUGAUUUCUGUUUCUGGUACUUCAGGGAUCCUCAUGCAAUGACGACAAGGAGAGAGAAGAUAUUGUCUUCUCUUUAGAGAUGAGAAGACUUCUAGAGAGCAAUGUCAAUUUUUAUAGUCCUUUGGGGGGUAGAGGUAGCAUGAGGUGACUUGGGAACCAGCAGCGCGGUAAGUGUACUGGGAAUGUUUUUUAAGGCCAGGCUAGCAGCAGCUGAUAUUUGUUUGUCUUUUCUGAGUAGGGGACAAGUCAUCCCGCAAUAGCCAAUUAUAUAAAUGUGUAGAGCAUAGUUUUACAGAAUCCAACUUAUAAAGGUAUUCCCAUAAAUCUAUAGAUGCUAAUUUCUGUUCAAUAUGGUGAUAAUUAAAGUUAUACAUAGUUGUUUAAUUUUGCACUAAUUUUGUGAUUUUUUAAUUGCAUUGCACAUUUUAGUAUUUUUCUUUUUUCUGUAUUAGCCCCUUGUCUAGUAAUUUUGUACUGACCUUUUUGGCUUACAGAAUGUACAAGAUCUCUCACAGUCAGAUCAAUUGAAGUUGCACUUGCCGGAAUUAUUUUGUAAUCCAUAUCUUGUAGUUUUGUAUCUUGCAAUGUAAUGUAAUGUGUAAAUAACAAAAUAGUGUAAUAUGUAGUGGAUUGUAUGCAUGUUAGUUUUUCA